rnacentral:rRNA from 1 species
AUUGAACGCUGGCGGCAGGCUUAACACAUGCAAGUCGAGCGAGCGGCGGACGGGUGAGUAAUGUCUGGGAAACUGCCUGAUGGAGGGGGAUAACUACUGGAAACGGUAGCUAAUACCGCAUACCAUCAGAUGUGCCCCGAUGGGAUUAGCUAGUAGGUGGUGUAAUGGGUCACCUAGGCGCCGAUCCCUACCUGGUCUGAGCGGAUGACCAGCCACACUGGAACGGAGACGCGGGCCAGACUCCUACGGGAGGCAGCAGUGGGGAAUAUUGCACAAGGGGCGCACGCCUGAUGCAGCCAGGCCGCGGGGGUGAAGAAGGCCUUCGGGUUGUAAAGCACUUUCAGCGAGGAGGCGUUACUCGCAGAAGAAGCACCGGCUAACUCCGUGCCAGCAGCCGCGGUAAUUC